rnacentral:rRNA from 1 species
GACGAACGCUGGCGGCGUGCUUAACACAUGCAAGUCGAGCGGUAAGGCCCUUUCGGGGGUACACGAGCGGCGAACGGGUGAGUAACACGUGGGUGACCUGCCCUCAGCUCUGGGAUAAGCCUGGGAACCCGGGUCUAAUACUGGAUAUGACUCCAUGACGCAUGUUGUGGGGUGGAAAGCCUUGUGCGGCUGAGGAUGGGCCCGCGGCCUAUCAGCUUGUUGGUGGGGUGAGGCCUACCAAGGCGACGACGGGUAGCCGGCCUGAGAGGGCGACCGGCCACACUGGGACUGAGACACGGCCCAGACUCCUACGGGAGGCAGCAGUGGGGAAUCUUGCGCAAUGGGCGAAAGCCUGACGCAGCGACGCCGCGUGAGGGAUGACGGCCUCGGU